AUUGAACGCUGGCGGCAUGCCUUACACAUGCAAGUCGAACGGCAGCACGGAGCUUGCUCUGGUGGCGAGUGGCGAACGGGUGAGUAAUAUAUCGGAACGUACCCAAGAGUGGGGGAUAACGUAGCGAAAGUUACGCUAAUACCGCAUACGAUCUAAGGAUGAAAGCAGGGGAUCGCAAGACCUUGUGCUCCUGGAGCGGCCGAUAUCUGAUUAGCUAGUUGGUGGGGUAAAGGCCCAUCAAGGCAACGAUCAGUAGCUGGUCUGAGAGGACGACCAGCCACACUGGAACUGAGACACGGUCCAGACUCCUACGGGAGGCAGCAGUGGGGAAUUUUGGCCAAUGGGAGCAACCCUGAUCCAGCAAUGCCGCGUGAGUGAAGAAGGCCUUCGGGUUGUAAAGCUCUUUUGUCAGGGAAGAAAAGGCUGUGGCUAAUAUCCACGGCUCAUGACGGUACCUGAAGAAUAAGCACCGGCUAACUACGUGCCAGCCGCCGCGGUAA
rnacentral:rRNA from 1 species